CCAGAGACUUUUAAUUGCCUUUUGGGUGGCGGGGAGCAGUUUCCUUCUAACACAGCCUCAGUUUUCUGUGUAUACUGCCAGAGUAGCCUGCUGGCUUCAGUUCUCCUGGAUUUCUUGGGCAGCCGUUCAGCUCAUGUCUACUCUGUUUUCAUUGCAGAUACUAUGUGCAAGUCCCCCUGGUGGUCACUUUGAAAUCCAGAGUCUUCAGACUUUAGGCAAAGAAACUGAAACUGACAUUCGAUUCUUGACCUCAGGGCACAAAAAGGAUUGAUGAGAUGUGAGCUGCAUUAAAACUGAAGAACUUCAGAAAAAUCACAAUAUACCACGCCAUACAGGAAAUCUUCCAGAGGAACUGGCUGGGAAAGAGAGACAUAAUUUGACACUCUUUAUUAAAGAUUUAUUUGUAA
rnacentral:lncRNA from 1 species